rnacentral:rRNA from 1 species
GACGAAGGGGGCUAGCGUUGUUCGGAAUUAUUGGGCGUAAAGAGCUCGUAGGCGGCUUGUUGCGUCGACUGUGAAAGCCCGCGGCUUAACCGCGUGGUCGGCAGUCGAUACGGGCAGGCUAGAGUUCGGUAGGGGAGACUGGAAUUCCUGGUGUAGCGGUGAAAUGCGCAGAUAUCAGGAGGAACACCGGUGGCGAAGGCGGGUCUCUGGGCCGUAACUGACGCUGAGGAGCGAAAGCGUGGGGAGCGAACAGG